rnacentral:tRNA from 1 species
GUUGGUAGAUCAGUGGUAGAGUGCAUGCUUUGUGUUUAUGAUGUCCUGGGAUCAAAUCCCAGCUGCACC